GCGCAGCAGUCGAGAAUACUUUACAAUGCGGGAAACCGUGAUAAGGGAACCUCGAGUGCUGGCGCAUAGCGUCGGCUGUCCAGAUGACCUAAAAAGCAUCUGAUAGCAAGGGCCGGGCAAGACCGGUGCCAGCCGCCGCGGUAACACCGGCGGCUCGAGUGGUGGCCACGUUUAUUGGGUCUAAAGCGUCCGUAGCCGGCUCGGCAAGUCCCCGUAGGGAAAUCUGGCGGCUCAACCGUCAGGCGUCCAGAGGAUACUGCUGGGCUUGGGGACCGGGAGAGGUGAGAGGUACCUCGA
rnacentral:rRNA from 1 species